rnacentral:rRNA from 1 species
UGAGGAAUAUUGGACAAUGGGCGCAAGCCUGAUCCAGCCAUGCCGCGUGCAGGAUGACGGUACCUGAAGAAUAAGCACCGGCUAACUACGUGCCAGCAGCCGCGGUAAUACGUAGGGUGCAAGCGUUAAUCGGAAUUACUGGGCGUAAAGCGUGCGCAGGCGGUUAUGUAAGUCAGAUGUGAAAUCCCCGGGCUCAACCUGGGAAUGGCAUUUGAGACUGCAUGGCUAGAGUGUGUCAGAGGGGGGUAGAAUUCCACGUGUAGCAGUGAAAUGCGUAGAGAUGUGGAGGAAUACCGAUGGCGAAGGCAGCCCCCUGGGAUAACACUGACGCUCAUGCACGAAAGCGUGGGGAGCAAACAGGAUUAGAUACCCGUGUAGUCCCUGAGCGGGCUGGCAAGGCGCAU